rnacentral:rRNA from 1 species
CUUGCUUUUCCGCUGACGAGUGGCGCACGGGUGCGCAACGCGUAUAGAACCUACCUUUUACUGGGAAAUAGCCCAUGGAAACGUGGAUUAAUGUCCCAUAAUAACAUUUGAUGGCAUCAUCUGAAUGUUUAAAGCUUUGGCGGUAGAAGAUGGCUAUGCGUCCCAUUAGUUAGUAGGCGAGGUAACGGCUCACCUAGGCUUCGAUGGGUAGGGGCCCUGAGAGGGGGAUCCCCCACACUGGUACUGAGACACGGACCAGACUCCUACGGGAGGCAGCAGUGAGGAAUAUUGGACAAUGGACGAAAGUCUGAUCCAGCCAUGCCGCGUGCAGGAAGACGGCCCUACGGGUUGUAAACUGCUUUUAUACGGGAAGAAUAAGGGGUACGUGUACCCCGAUGACGGUACCGUAAGAAUAAGGACCGGCUAACUCCGUGCCAGCAGCCGCGGUAAUACGGAGGGUCCGAGCGUUAUCCGGAAUCAUUGGGUUUAAAGGGUCCGCAGGCGGGCAAUUAAGUCAGGGGUGAAAGGCUGUGGCUCAACCAUAGCACUGCCCUUGAUACUGGUUGUCUUGAGUUAUAGUGAAGUGGCCGGAAUAUGUAGUGUAGCGGUGAAAUGCAUAGAUAUUACAUAGAACACCGAUUGCGAAGGCAGGUCACUAACUAUUGACUGACGCUGAUGGACGAAAGCGUGGGGAGCGAACGGGAUUAGAUACCCCGGUAGUCCACGCCGUAAACGAUGGAUACUAGCUGUCGGGCUUUCGGGCUCGGCGGCCAAGCGAAAGUGAUAAGUAUCCCACCUGGGGAGUACGUUCGCAAGAAUGAAACUCAAAGGAAUUGACGGGGGCCCGCACAAGCGGUGGAGCAUGUGGUUUAAUUCGAUGAUACGCGAGGAACCUUACCAGGGCUUAAAUGCAGAAUGACAGGACCAGAGACGGUCUUUUCUUCGGACAUUUUGCAAGGUGCUGCAUGGUUGUCGUCAGCUCGUGCCGUGAGGUGUCAGGUUAAGUCCUAUAACGAGCGCAACCCCUGUCGUCAGUUGCCAACAGAUAAUGCUGGGGACUCUGGCGAGACUGCCGGUGCAAACCGCGAGGAAGGUGGGGAUGACGUCAAAUCAUCACGGCCCUUACGUCCUGGGCUACACACGUGCUACAAUGGCCGAUACAGUGAGCAGCCAUCCGGCAACGGAGAGCGAAUCUAUAAAAUCGGUCACAGUUCGGAUCGGGGUCUGCAACUCGACCCCGUGAAGCUGGAAUCGCUAGUAAUCGGAUAUCAGCCAUGAUCCGGUGAAUACGUUCCCGGGCCUUGUACACACCGCCCGUCAAGCCAUGGAAGCC